rnacentral:rRNA from 1 species
CUACGGGUCGCUGCAGUGGGGAAUAUUGCACAAUGGAGGAAACUCUGAUGCAGCCAUGCCGCGUGUGUGAAGAAGGCCCGAGGGUUGUAAAGCACUUUCAAUUGGGAGGAAGGUUAGUAAGUUAAUACCUUGCUAGCUUGACGUUACCUUUAGAAGAAGCACCGGCUAACUCUGCGCCAGCAGCCGCGGUAAUACAGAGGGUGCAAGCGUUAUUCGGAAUUACUGGGCGUAAAGCGCGCGUAGGCGGACUGUUAAGUCGGUUGUGAAAGCCCUGGGCUCAACCUAGGAACUGCAUCCGAUACUGGCAAUCUAGAGUUUAAGAGAGGGAAGUGGAAUUCCAGGUGUAGCAGUGAAAUGCGUAGAUAUCUGGAGGAACAUCAGUGGCGAAGGCGACUUCCUGGCUUAAAACUGACGCUGAGGUGCGAAAGCGUGGGUAGCGAACGGGAUUAGAUACCCUAGUAGUC